rnacentral:snRNA from 1 species
GGAGGUGAGGGCGAUCUGGCUGUGUUUGCCAUGGUUGAUUUGGCUAAUCUGGCUGGCUAGGCGAGUGUCCCCUUGCUCCCUCAUAGCUCCAUGUGCAUUGCUCCCAAAGCUGCGUGCUUGUUCAAAGAGGACAACCAUCUGAUCUUCGGUCUUUGGUCUUCAGUUAAGGGUCAAGGGUAUAGGAGUAACUGUGCUCCUCUGCUAGAACCUCCAAACAAGCUCUCAUAAUAUGUUAACAUUUUUUAACCGUGCUCUGAUAAUGGACAUUGCAUCAGAAGCAAAUUACUGUAUUAAUAAUAGACUUGGCAAUAAUCAAUUAGAAUAUCAUG